GGCGCUGGGAUGGACCGGGAGCUGCUCCGCCAGGCGCUGAGCCACCACGGCCCCGCGCUGCUGUCGCUGCUCCGCGCCGAGCAGCACGACAACCCCGACUUCCGCGGGCUGCUGCCGCCGCCCGGGGCCGCCCCGGAGCCGCCCCGCGGGGCCCCGCCGGCCGCCUGGAAAGACAGGGCGAGCCUCGACACCGAGAUAAAGCGCUUCAUCGCCAAGAAGGCGGAUCUGCUCUUCGCGCACUCGUGGAAACCCAACGGGCCGAUCGAGGACACGAUCGAGGAGAAUGAGGAGUGUUAUGCUGUCAUGCCGCCCCUGGAGAGGUUCAUGGAGGUGCCCAGGGAGGAGAGGAGGGAAUUGUUCUUCCGUGACAUCGAGCGAGGCGAUAUCGUGAUCGGGAGGAUCACCUCCAUCCGGGAGUUUGGCUUUUUCAUGGUGUUGAUUUGUCUGGGAAGUGGUGUCAUACGGGAAAUUGCAGAUUUGGAAAUCACUGCUCUGUGUCCUGUGAGGGAUGUGCCUCCUCAAAGCAACCAUGGAGAUCCUCUGUCUUAUUAUCAAACUGGAGACCUUAUUCGAGCUGCAGUCAAGGAUGUGGACCGUUACCAUGAGAAGCUCACGGUGUCUCUUUACAGCUCAGCUCUUCCACCCAACCUUUCCAGUACCAAACUGGGCGUGAUCACCUCCGAUGACUUCCCAGUGCAUUAUAAGCGAAGCAUGGAAGUUGCUAAUACAGGAGAGACAUUUGAAGAGGUUUUGCAUCGUUCCCCAGGAUUUGCUAAUCCAUCAUUAGUUGAAUAUUUAGCAGAAAAACUAGGACUAAGUGAGUCAAAUCCACCGUCUUUGCUGAGAAGUCUUCAAAUUAAAAAUUUCAAUGAAGAAGAUUUUGCCCCUGCAUUGAGGAAAAAGCAGUCUGCAUCUUGGGCCCUGAAAUGUGUGAAGGCUGGGGUGGAUUAUUUCAAGGUUGGGCGCCAUGUGGAAGCCAUGAAUGAGUACAACAAAGCUUUGGAAAUUGAUCCACAAAACGUUGAGGCUUUGGUAGCACGUGGAGCUCUGUAUGCAACAAAAGGAAGUCUAAACAAAGCCAUUGGGGAUUUUGAAAUUGCUUUAGAAAACUGUCCUACCCAUAGAAAUGCAAGAAAAUACCUGUGUCAGACCCUUGUGGAAAGAGGCGGGCAAUUGGAAGAGGAAGAGAAACUACUAAAUGCUGAGAGUUAUUAUAAAAAAGCCUUAAGUUUGGAUGAGACUUUUCAGGAAGCAGAAGAGGCCUUAACAAAACUCCGUAAGCACAUCCAGGUGAUUCUUUACUUUCUUUUCACAUGGUGCUCUCAGUGACGAUAAGUGAACAUCAAAAAUCAUAUUAAAUCUUCUGAACAGAGAGGGUUUGAGUUGAUGGUUUGUCUUACUCUCUGCUUCCCUACUCCACAGUAAAUCUUUUCUAGUGAGCAUUAUGGCUGUACCUACCAGAAGAAAGGUAUCUCUUGGUGACUCCACUGUUUUGAAAAGGAUAGUAAAGAAAUGCCAGACAGUGGAGACAGGGAAGGAGCAAAGCAGGGAUAAGAAUAUCCCAUCCCACAAGCAUGAUUAAUGCUGUUAACUUAAAACUUCUGUGAAUACAAAGUUGCAAAGUGUAAAACACUUCUGCAAGCCAGAUUAACAUUGUCGCUAUAUAGCGACAGAUCCUUGUCACUGGCCAGAUCCUGGGCCUUUGGUAAUUACAGAAAGAUAGAGAAACACCAGGCAAAGUUAAGGCAUGGGGAGAUCACAGGAGAAGGGAAAUUAAAAGGUAAUUUAAAGGCAAACAGCAGGAGGUGGAGGGUGGGCGGGCAGACAGUUUGAAUAUCUCAGCUUUCUCCUCUGCUCUCUGGUGGUUUUUUCCUCUCUUCCCUUGCAUGCAGCACGUUUCCCAGGUGAGCCUGGUGGGUCUCUGUGCUAAUCUGAGUUGUCAUCUUCUGUCUUUCGUUCACCUCCUUUGCUUGUGUUGUCUUCCACAGCAGGUCAAAGAGUAAAACAGAGCACUGAGGAACAGGCUUGUUUUGUUCUGUGCUUCUGCAUGUGAGGAUGUACAUAGGCUGGGGUAGAUGGCCUUAGUCAGCAUUUCUUCAGUUGGUGGAGCCAUAAUGCUGACAGGUUGUGUGGAAACAAGGGGGAAGAGGAGACAGGACAAUCUUCUUAAUAAAAUUGAACUACACCACAGAUAAACAGGUGUAUGGUAUUUGAGCAGUAUCUGCAUUUGGCUGCUUUAGAAAGAGGUGUCAGUUAAAAUGAGGGAGAUAAAUUUUUCUCCUUUAACACUUUGCUAUGGUCAUUGCUGCAGCAAAGAACACGAUAGCUGUUGGUUGUUGGUGUGCAUGGCCUUGGCUGCAACAAAGGGUUUCCUUUAUUAUAGCUGUUAGCAUAGUUGCUAAGUUUUGAAAACUCUAAUCAGACUUUCUGCUCACUCUGAAUCUGCAUAGAGCUGCUGUGUAGGGCUGUAGGUGGCAGAAGUCUGAUCUCUUAUAGAGUUAAGUAGUCUAAGGAUUAUUCAUCUGGUGAGAUGCUCUUCCGCAUUUACCUGUAACUUAUGUAUUAAGUCUGAUCCUGUCCCUGCUGUGCUAGAAGGGCUGAAAUGGCACUGGAGUGUGUUUUCCUGUAAUACUGAUGAUGUGUUUUUCUCCAAUGCAUUUUCCUCUGAACGGGACCGUUGUUGCUGUGUCUGACGUCUGGUGCUGCUCGUCACCACCAAACCCCUGGAUCGCGAUUUCUUACGUAAACUCUGCGUCAAACUGGGCUGUGAAAUGGUUACCAAACGAAAUCUUUGGAAAUGAGGGAGAAACAAGCUGCCAAAGAAGAGAGACAGAAAGCAAAGAAAGUAGAAACAAGUGCAGAAAAAUUGCGUAAGCUCUUAAAAGAA